rnacentral:rRNA from 1 species
AUUGAACGCUGGCGGCAUGCUUUACACAUGCAAGUCGAACGGCAGCGGGGUAGUGCUUGCACUACUGCCGGCGAGUGGCGAACGGGUGAGUAAUAUAUCGGAACGUACCGAGUAAUGGGGGAUAACCAAUCGAAAGAUUGGCUAAUACCGCAUACGUCCUGAGGGAGAAAGCGGGGGAUCGCAAGACCUCGCGUUAUUCGAGCGGCCGAUAACUGAUUAGCUAGUUGGUGGGGUAAAGGCCCACCAAGGCGACGAUCAGUAGCGGGUCUGAGAGGACGAUCCGCCACACUGGGACUGAGACACGGCCCAGACUCCUACGGGAGGCAGCAGUGGGGAAUUUUGGACAAUGGGGGCAACCCUGAUCCAGCCAUGCCGCGUGUAUGAAGAAGGCCUUCGGGUUGUAAAGUACUUUUGUUAGGGAAGAAAAGGGAAGUGCUAAUACCACUUUUUGCUGACGGUACCUAAAGAAUAAGCACCGGCUAACUACGUG